AUUCCAGGGGAACAACUUUCCAAACAUGAGUCGGAAAGCUUCUUUUCUUCGGAAAAAUUGAACAAUUUUCACUGUUCCUUUUCUGUUUUAAAUUUUGCUUUUUUCGAAGCUAGUUUUGUAGCCUCGAUGAGCAAAUUAGCGUGUCUGUUUCAAGUUAACUCGGUCCAACAGUUUACAGCAAGUUUGCGGGAGACCUCUCCACAGACAAUGAUUUAAUUUUGUUUAUGCCAUUAAAACGGUCACACAACUAGCAAGCAAUGCUGUUUUACCACGGUUUCUUGUUAUUUGAGGUUCAUUGAACAUGAGAGGAAAUUAUUGACGAGCGACCGUACUGGCAGUAAAAUCAAUGUUAUGGACGAUUGAUUAGUCGGUUCGAGAUUAUGACAAGCGUGAAUCUGUCCAGAAUAUUUGAUUUGUGGAAUUGCAACCAUGAAUUACAUCAUAACAUAUCUUUUGAUUUUUUCUGAAAUAUUUUUCAAGUUUGCCUUUCUACUCCGCCUGCUAUAUUACCCAUUGUUCGGUACCCGUUUUCCACCUUAAAUAACCUACUAAACUAAAGAUGUCAACCUUUUUUGUGAAUGGGAAACGCGACAGUAUCCCAAACUGUGGUCCUUAUGGGAAAUAAUAAUCAUUUCAAUUAAUUGAACUCCAUCCGUUAGCUAUAAACUAUUAAACUGUUUCCUUUAGCUUAGCGUUCAGCUUUCGUGCAAGUUGAAAUCGUAUUUAUGAUUUCUCCAGGACUUCAUCGCUAACACUUAUCAAUAAAAUACGUGUUUGAGCACAUAAAUUAUUUACUCUUCAAAACCGUGAAUUCCAGUUUUGUCUUUUCCUCUACAUCGAUCUAGGAGAAGUAGUAUGUGAAUAUCUCGGUUUCUUUGCUCGGUUGUGCAAAACGGGAGUGUAGAGAAGUCGUCAAGCUUAUACUGGAGUAACUUAUCUUUUCCUCCACAGUUGGAAGGUUCGUCGGCGCGCCAAAAUCAUGAGGGCAUAUGCCGUGAUCGUGUGCCUACUCCUUAUUCUGUACCAAGUUAGUGCGGCUCCAAGGCCAUGUAGAAAUAGACGAGAUGUAAGUGACAAAAAGACUGACGAUAAAACAGAAAAUAAGGAGAAUGAUCAUGAAAGUUCAGGGAAGAGUGAAGCAAAAGGAAGUCAAAAGGACAAAAAACAGUAUGUGCCAUAUUAUCCAGCCGCUCCCGCUGUUCCAGCAUAUAACAUGGGAGAUGUCAUUUGUGAGGACAGUAGACCUGUGCAAGUUGUCCAAAUAAGGGAUUUAAGUAUUGUGAAUGGAGUCAUCAAGUCGAGCAAUAUCUCAUAGAUCCUGGAUGGCAGACCACAAGUAGAAAGAAAUUUGGAUAUUGGAUAGUUUUUGUACAAAACACAUUUUUGAACGUUUGCAGCACGUGUUUGUGGUUUGCGAUUCAGUUCUUUACGAAUUUUUAUUCGCGUCCUGACAUGGACUACAGAAAUGGAGAAAAUUUAUUUCUCAAACCACUAAAAAACUCGACAAUGAGAGGUUACACCGAAUGGAUGAGACUAGCAUGGACAUAUCGACAGUUUUAAUGUGGCUAUUCAAGGAGAUUUGAGGAUCCGCGAGAGACAGAGAAACUGUUAAAUCCGUCGAGUAUGAUCGACUUGCCUUAUUGUAAAGAAAAAGAAUAUCGAAAAGGGCUCUUUCCAAACGACUUUUUGUGAAGUUUAAGCUUUUGAAAGGGAGAGUUAUUCCACAAAUGAUGUCUUCAUUCAGUAAGGCGUUAUGUACAUAUCUUGUCGAGACAUUUGCAGCCGUCGAUGGUAGAAUUACACUAGGUAUACACGAAAUUCACGACUGCACGACAAGAUGGUAUUGCAGUAGCUUAGCUUGUUUGUAAAAAGGAAACAAAUCACAAAUUACAAACCAAAUUGUUAUA